rnacentral:misc_RNA from 1 species
ACUCAUUUCUGUUCAAGACAGUGACGAGAUGAAUUGUUGAUGCGGCUCUAUAACUCCAUAUUUCAACAUCUGUGAUAUAAUAGUGUUGGACGUUUGGCUUUGUUGCAGAACAUUUUAUCCUUAAAAAAAACUCCUUGAAUAAUGGAUUUUUAUACGUUGGUUUUCGUUUGUUCAACAUACUUUUCCUUUUCCAAGGUUUUUGGGAAUUCUGAAUGCGAAGAUUCAGCUGAAACAGCUAAAACAGUAAAAUCAUGUCCUCAAAAUAUCAUUGAAUGGAACGAGGCAGCUAAAAACAAAGGCUGUGAAAAAAUGUCACACUCAUGUUCUUCAUUCGAAUACCACUGUGUUAUUAAUGCGUGGGGAAAUGAAACAAUAGAAGUUUGUGCUCCACCUGUGAGGAUUGUCGGAAGUGUUUGCGCAGAAUAUAGCUACGGUGGAAGAAGAAUUCAACGCAACGGAAAUGUUCAUUGCGAAAAAUGUCCUUCUUACUUUUCAAAUGAAAGCUACAACUAUCAAGAGUGUUAUGAGUACGUCAAAAAUGUAAAGGCAUCACAAACAACACAACUGACGACCGAAUCGAUAGACAAGGAAUCAACAACACAAGGAAUGCUAUACCUAGCUUCAUCAUUAACUCCUAAUGAAGAAUCAGUUCGUUUAUAUCAAGAUACUGAUACCCCCAAAACAUCCACUCAUAUCAUAAUAAUCAUUAUAUGUGUAGUCGUCGGUCUAUCUGCUAUAGCAGUUGUCUUCACAGUUAAACGACGAUCAUUAACAGAAAAAUUGUUCGCUUGUUUCAAAAAAACAGUUUUACAUAAUGAAGAUGUAUAUGCUCAACCAUCAGAAAUCGUUAUCGGAAGUGUAGAAGAAGGCCUUGAAGUAAAAACUGUUUUAUUGGACAAGUGAACUCAUACCUUUAUACAAGACACGUGAACGUGAACUUAAUGAAUCUUAAGACAAUGCAAGUUUAAAUGUUAUAUCAAACUGAUUUAUUUUCUAUACUAUGUAACAUUCGUAUACACUGUAAAAUAUUUAUUCAUCAUGAUUGAUAUCUAUAUUGUUCCUAAAUGGC